UGGGGAAUUUUGGACAAUUGGGGGAAACCCUGAUCCAGCCAUCCCGCGUGUGCGAUGAAGGCCUUCGGGUUGUAAAGCACUUUUGGCAGGAAAGAAACGUCGCGGGUUAAUACCCCGCGGAACUGACGGUACCUGCAGAAUAAGCACCGGCUAACUACGUGCCAGCAGCCGCGGUAAUACGUAGGGUGCAAGCGUUAAUCGGAAUUACUGGGCGUAAAGCGUGCGCAGGCGGUUCGGAAAGAAAGAUGUGAAAUCCCAGAGCUUAACUUUGGAACUGCAUUUUUAACUACCGGGCUAGAGUGUGUCAGAGGGAGGUGGAAUUCCGCGUGUAGCAGUGAAAUGCGUAGAUAUGCGGAGGAACACCGAUGGCGAAGGCAGCCUCCUGGGAUAACACUGACGCUCAUGCACGAAAGCGUGGGGAGCAAACAGGAUUAGAUACCCUGGUAGUCCACGCCCUAAACGAUGUCAACUAGCUGUUGGGGUCUUCGGACCUUGGUAGCGCAGCUAACGCGUGAAGUUGACCGCCUGGGGAGUACGGUCGCAAGAUUAAAACUCAAAUGAAUUGAC
rnacentral:rRNA from 1 species